CUUUUUCAUUAAUAUCCCUGUUAGUCCUGACUGGUAAAACCACCUGAAGCAAUGUCAUCCAAAUCUAUAUAUGUAUCAUAACAUAACUUAUUCUUU